GAUGAACGCUGGCGGCGUGCUUAACACAUGCCAGUCGAACGGAAAGGCCCAAACUUGCUUGGGUACUCGAGUGGCGAACGGGUGAGUAACACGUGGGGGAUCUGCCCUUCACUUCGUGAUAAGCCUGGGGAACUGGGUCUAAUACCGGGUAGGACCACAUGUUGGGUGUGGUGGUGGAGAGAUUUGCGGUGUUGGUUGAGCUCGCGGCCUAUAAGCUUGUUGGUGGGGUAAUGGACUACCAAGGCGUCGACGGGUAGCCGGCAUGAGAGGGUGUACGGCCACAGUGGGACUGAGAGACGGCCCAGACGCCGAAGGGAGGCAGAAGGGGGGAAUAUUGCACAAGGGGCGCAAGCCGGAUGCAGCGAGGCCGCGGGGGGGAGGACGGCCUUCGGGUUGGAAAAUCAUUUCGCUAGGGACGAAGCGUUAUGUGACGGUACCUGGAGAAGAAGCACCGGCUAACUACGUG
rnacentral:rRNA from 1 species